rnacentral:rRNA from 1 species
AGAGUUUGAUCCUGGCUCAGGAUGAACGCUAGCUACAGGCUUAACACAUGCAAGUCGAGGGGCAGCAUUUUAGUUUGCUUGCAAACUAAAGAUGGCGACCGGCGCACGGGUGAGUAACACGUAUCCAACCUGCCGAUAACUCGGGGAUAGCCUUUCGAAAGAAAGAUUAAUAUCCGAUAGUAUAUUAAAACCGCAUGGUUUUACUAUUAAAGAAUUUCGGUUAUCGAUGGGGAUGCGUUCCAUUAGUUUGUUGGCGGGGUAACGGCCCACCAAGACAACGAUGGAUAGGGGUUCUGAGAGGAAGGUCCCCCACAUUGGAACUGAGACACGGUCCAAACUCCUACGGGAGGCAGCAGUGAGGAAUAUUGGUCAAUGGACGAGAGUCUGAACCAGCCAAGUAGCGUGAAGGAUGACUGCCCUAUGGGUUGUAAACUUCUUUUAUAUGGGAAUAAAGUAUUCCACGUGUGGGAUUUUGUAUGUACCAUAUGAAUAAGGAUCGGCUAACUCCGUGCCAGCAGCCGCGGU